rnacentral:lncRNA from 1 species
CCUACAUCUUGUCUUUCCUGGCCCUAGUUUAAUUCAAGUCUUUCCCUCAUUAUCUCUGUAUAAAUAAAUGUUCUUCAUUUAUAUAGCCCUUUACAACAACCCUUUUGGUGAACCAAAGUGCUUUACAAUACAUAGUAAAUAAAAAAAGACAAAAUAAAAACAAUAAAAAGCAAUGAAACCAAUAAAAGCAAUAACAAAAAGAAUAAGAUACAAUGCAAUAAAAUAAAGUAAAAGUGUCACAAUGUUACUGGGUAUUAAAAGCCAGCAUAAAUAAAUAUGUUUUCAGUCGAGAUUUGAAAAGGCCCAUUUCUGGCAGGUUUGACGACCUCAGAGCUCGACCCGGCCCCUGAAUGGUUAAAAGCUAAGUUAAAUAGAUGGGGGGUGAGGCCGUUAAGAGCUUGUUCCCAGCUAGAAAUCUUUUGUUCUAAAAACAUUCUGACAAUGUUACCUGUGAUGUUCUUACAAUGUUUUUUGCGGGAAGUUUUUGUUCAGUUCCAAGAAUGUUAUCAAAGAAUAUCCUCAAAAAACAUCCUUAACAUGUUUAUCGAUAACACUCUUAAAAUGUUAAAUGAAAAUAUUUUUAUAACCUAAUAUUCUAAUGCUUAAGGGAUGUUUUAAGAGGGAAGUUUUCUUCAAGUUCCAAGAACGUUUUAAAGGAACGUUCUUUUAAAACAUUCUAAAAACUUUUUAAGAUAACCUUCUUAAAAUGUUAAAUGAACAUAUUGCUAUAACAUUAUAUCCUAAUAUUUUAAUUAUGUUUUUAGCAGGAAGUUUUCUUAAAGUUCCAAGAAUGUUAUAGAAGAAUGGUCUCUAAAAACAUUCUGGAAAUGUUUUGUAAUAACAUUAUUAAAAUGUUGAAUGAAAAUAUUGCCCUAAUAUCAUACCCUCAUGUUUUUAUGAUGUCUUUAUGGGGGAGUUUUCUUUGGGUUCCCAGAAUGUUCUUGAAGAACAUUUUCUGAUGACAUUCUAACAACAUUUUGUGAUAGCCUUCUUAAAAUGUUGAAUGAAAUUAGUACUAGAAUAUUACACUGUAAUGUUUUAAUGAUGUUUUGUUUAAAGUUCCCAGAAUGUUCUAGGAGAAUGUUCUCUAUAAACAUCCUAACAAUGGUUUGUGAUAAUGUUCUUACAAUGUAACAAAUUAAAAUAUUGCUACAUUAUACCCUGAUGUUAUAAUUAUAUUUUUUUGGUGGAAGUUUUCUUUAAGUUCCCAGAAUGUUCUGGGUGAAUGUUCUAUAAAAACAGUCUAAGAAUAUUUUGUGAUGACUUUGUUACAAUGUCACAAAUGAAAACAUUGCUACAACAUUAUACCCAAAUGUUCACAGCUGGCAGUGUUAGAAUGAUACAGUUUAAGAAGUGGAUAACAUGCAUUGAAAAGAAAAAUCUAUCAAUGUUAUGUUACGGUAUUUAAACAUUGAAAUGACAUCACCUUUCAUCUCAAGAUUUAAGUUUCCUGACACUGGUCACGAGGAUCACUGAUUAAUUACUUCAAAAUAGAAUUGGACCACGAACCCAUGUAAAUGUUUCACAACACUCAUUUAUUUAAACACUUAAAAAAAAAUAAAAAAUUAAGGAGGGAGAGAGAAAGAUUUUUAAUAACAGGCGAAGCGGGUUGAUGCUCUGUUAGCAGCCUGCGUUGGUUUUCAUAGACAAAUAUCUGCGAAGCACCUUAAGGAGGACGCGUCGCUGGUGUGACUGAGCAGCGGCCAAACAUGAAAUUCUCUGGAUGUGAAAGUUCUGAGGAGUCCUGAUCCUCUUUUCUCCAGUUCCACUCCUGCUAUUUAUGUGUCAGAUUCUUCUGACAGGAUUACGCGGCUCCCCUCCGACACUGCAGGAUCACCGUCUGGUCUGGGUCCACUUGCCUCAUUCACAUGCAUAAUAAAAAAAAGAGUAUUUAAAAACUGUUAAUGAUUCAUUACUGAUUCAGUAAUUACUGCAAAUAACCAAUAAUAUCCAAAUAAAGUAUAUACAAAAAAGUAAGUUAAUCUAGUGAUAAUGAUGUGUUGUCGGUGGUGGGGAGGAGAGGCAGACGCCAGCAACUAUGCUGAUAAAAGCUCCCUGCAUUUGAUAUAGUUUCCCUUUUCCUUGAAAUCAAAGACCAUUGACAGGAUUUGACCUAUGAGCUUGAAAGAAAACCACCAAAGAAAAGAAAAAGGAAAUCUGACCGGGUUAAAACAAGAGACAACAUCGGCAUAUCUUUCCCCAGGUAGAGAAAACUCAUGAGGGAGAAGAACCUGAAAACACGAGGUUGCAACCUUUUUGCUAGGCGGGUAAAUAAAUCAAACAUUAAAAUUUUAUCUUGACAUAAUGUUAGAAACCAGAGCAGUGUAGUCCCACAACUACUUUAUCUGUGCAUUAGUGAUGAGAACAGUGCUAUACAAAUGAUGAGCGCUAUACAAAUGCUAAAUUAAGUGAGUAAACCCACGCAACUUUACUCUGAACUACAUAAUAAACUACAAUGCAUGAAUUCUAGAAAUAAGAAUUUGAUACGCCAAGUGAUACACUGCAGACAAGGAUGCGUUCAAUGGUGCAAUGUUACUACUACUCAAAAAGUAUACCUAAUGACAGAAAAAAGUCUCAAUGUGCAUCAAAAUUUGCAAAUAUGCUCACAUCUUAUCACAAAUUGUACGGCAAUGAACAUGUUUUUCAACAAAUCAAAACACUGACCUGCAUCCCUCUGUGAGGGGCAUAUCUCAGCAUAUCUGAGAUGCAGGUAUCUAUCAACUUUAGCAGUGUCUUGGGGGGGUUCCUUUGGCAAGCCUCCAAAAAUAAAGGGAGACAGAGAGAAAUGGUUUAGAAAAGCAGAAAUUCAGAAACACGUAUGCUAGUUUAGCAAAUAUGCUAGCGCAUGCAUCUGUCUUAAAGCUAUGAUCUACCAUUUGUAAUUAUUAUUAAACACAUUUAUAUGGCUUUUAUGGUCAUAUAGUCCGAUCCACACAACAUGAAGAGCAAAAAGAACUAAAAAAAAAAUCCAUUCUGUCUAGCAGCUGCAGGACUGUAGGGGAAUUGACCAAUACUAUCCCUUCAUCACGAAUGGCUCACUUUGGCUUGUACCCCACAGCCAAACCCCUUGACUCCCCUGCUCCUCGUCAUCUUGAGACAUCCUAUCUUGUCCCCAUCCCUUCCGUAUUUGUAACUGCAGCUCAGCUACAGUCUUUGAAACCAAGAAUUCAGAGCCUGCUUCACCCCCGUCCCCCCAGCAGGCCUGCCACUGAAAGCCCCAUAUGAUUCAGGGAAACACAAUACAGAAGCACAGAAUUUGUUGUUGCUGUUUUCGGUGCUAGUGCUGCGUCGAGGGCUGGUGCCGGCCGAGCAGCCUCCCACCAGCUCCGGAGCCUGGCUCAGCACCACUAAUGGUGGCAGAGCCGGUUGUCAUCGGUCUGUCAUUAAAACUUACUGUUGCUGGGCAGCCGAUAUUGCUGAUAAACGCUCCAGAGCUGGAGGGAGGUGGUCAUCUGUGCGCCCCAGCACAGAGCGCCGCCAGCAGGGCAAAGCUCUGCUCUCCUCGCUUAGCAGGGACACAGUGCUUCGUGUGCAGAGCAGCUCAGGCUGCAGCGGUGGCACCAUUCAUUGCGUGAGCUGCUUCAUGGGGUUGGAGUUGUGGCGGCCCU